UACGUAGGGGCUAGCGUUAUCCGGAUUUACUGGGCGUAAAGGGUGCGUAGGCGGUCUUUCAAGUCAGGAGUGAAAGGCUACGGCUCAACCGUAGUAAGCUCUUGAAACUGUAAGAUUUGAGUGCAGGAGAGGAGAGUGGAAUUCCUAGUGUAGCGGUGAAAUGCGUAGAUAUUAGGAGGAACACCAGUUGCGAAGGCGGCUCUCUGGACUGUAACUGACGCUGAGGCACGAAAGCGUGGGGAGCGAACGGGAUUAGAUACCCGGGUAGUCCCUGA
rnacentral:rRNA from 1 species